UGAGGAAUCUUCCGCAAUGGGCGAAAGCCUGACGGAGCGACACCGCGUGGAGGAUGAAGGCCUUUUGGUUGUAAACUCCUUUUCUGGGGGAAUAAAUGAUGAAGGUACUCCAGGAAUAAGCACCGGCUAAUUACGUGCCAGCAGCCGCGGUAAUACGUAAGGUGCAAGCGUUAUCCGGAAUCAUUGGGCGUAAAGCGUUCGUAGGUGGUUUAGAAAGUUCGUGGUUAAAUCUGGUCGCUCAACGAUCAAUCCGCUACGAAAACUCCUAAACUAGAGAAUGACAGGGGCAACUGGAAUUUCGCAUGUAGGGGUAAAAUCCGUUGAUAUGCGAAGGAACACCAAAAGCGAAGGCAGGUUGCUGGGUCAUUUCUGACACUCAAGAACGAAAGCGUGGGGAGCA
rnacentral:rRNA from 1 species